rnacentral:rRNA from 1 species
CCUACGGGAGGCAGCAGUAGGGAAUCUUCCGCAAUGGGCGAAAGCCUGACGGAGCAACGCCGCGUGAGUGAUGAAGGUCUUCGGAUCGUAAAACUCUGUUAUUAGGGAAGAACAAAUGUGUAAGUAACUAUGCACGUCUUGACGGUACCUAAUCAGAAAGCCACGGCUAACUACGUGCCAGCAGCCGCGGUAAUACGUAGGUGGCAAGCGUUAUCCGGAAUUAUUGGGCGUAAAGCGCGCGUAGGCGGUUUUUUAAGUCUGAUGUGAAAGCCCACGGCUCAACCGUGGAGGGUCAUUGGAAACUGGAAAACUUGAGUGCAGAAGAGGAAAGUGGAAUUCCAUGUGUAGCGGUGAAAUGCGCAGAGAUAUGGAGGAACACCAGUGGCGAAGGCGACUUUCUGGUCUGUAACUGACGCUGAUAGUGCGAAAGCGUGGGGAUCAAACAGGAUUAGAUACCCUGGUAGUCCACGCCGUAAACGAUGAGUGCCAAGUGUUAGGGGGUUUCCGCCCCUUAGUGCUGCAGCUAACGCAUUAAGCACUCCGCCUGGGGAGUACGACCGCAAGGUUGAAACGUCAAAGGAAUUGACGG